UCAGGCGCUAUAAACCCAAUAAGUUGUCGUUGACACUGAAACGGUGGACAAAUUUUUUCGUGUUCUGACGCUCGAGAAGGUCUACCGGUCCUUGACAAUUUUACCAAUUACGUCAUGGUAUUCGUUAUAGUUUUUAAGGAGUUUUCGUUACUUCCAUUUGAUUAGAAAUGUUAUAUUAAAAAAGAAGAUUUCUGGAAAAAUAUAAUGCAUCAACAGUUGUCAGUAAGAUGACACUAGGUACUUGAAUCGGGUAGUUUGGCCAAAAAGCUUUUAUGGUGAACAACGAUGCCAAAUGUCACUAGAAUAUCAUUUGCAGAAAAUGGGCGGCCCUGGUUCAGGCCCGUAGCCAGAUUCGAAGUAGCAGGGGUGGCCGGUAUUUUUCUAGAGGUGGCUAAGAAGUGUUUGAUAAAUAUCUCCCCUGUAAUUUUUGUAAAGGAACCAUUAACCGUAAUUUCCAGUGGGAGCAAGACCACGUUCUAGAUGGGACUGAGUUCCACUCCACCUGGCCACUCUCUAGCUACGGUCCUGCCUUGGUUCGAUUCCCGGCGAUCAUUUAUUGAAAUGUAAAACACACAAUAUUGUAAUUCAUAUAUCUCAAAAGGGGACAGGCCACCAUGCUGGUUUUCACCGCCCCCAAAAUUACAAGUUCUGUAACUCCAUUAGUUUAUCAUAUAGCUAAGUUUACACGUUAAGGAGACUUACAUUAAACAAAUAACUUUA